rnacentral:tRNA from 1 species
UCCCCAGUGGCUCAGCGGUAAAGAAUCUACCUGCGAUGUAGGAGACCUGUGUUCAAUCCCUGGUUGGGGAA